rnacentral:rRNA from 1 species
AUGCGUCACCCGAGGGAGCCCUCCUCUGCUUCUCCUUCGCUAGAAUCGCGCCAAGUCCGGUGCCCCUGCUUCCUUGAGACCUGUGUCGCCGGAUCUCAUUGCCUCAUCCUCGGAUCCGCCCAUCUUCUAUGCUCCCCGCUUCUCCGUGCCGUUACCUCGCCAAGCCACCAAGUCCCUCGCCGCGCUGCAUCUUGUCUGCGGCAAGCGGGAGUUGCAGUCGCUGCAGGUCGCUCCGUUGAUCCGGCCUCCUCCGCCCUGAUCACGUCAACCGGUCGGGCCAGCCGAACCCGCUCGGUCCUACCGGCUCGCACGAACCGGUCUGGCCCGAUCCGUCCAAACCAGCCCCGACCUCUGCCCAUCUUCAGCAGGCCCGUUCGGCCCAGGUUGCAGGUGCCGAUGAUACCAGUGCAGAUGACGCAACUGAGCUCAAGUGGGAGCUCGAUGAAGAUCGUGUUCAUUGUGUUGUUUCGUUUUACAGUUGAUCAGUAG